ACAUUUUUUUUCCUCAAUACAUUAUUAUUGUAUCACCGUAUGCUUGGAUUGUGUUCGUAUGGAUUGGGGCUGUCACUUUCAGUGCUUCACAUCACAUGAUUAGGAGGUCCUUUCUCUCGCAUAGUUAUAUUGGAUCUUUCUUCAGGUAGUUUCAUUUUAUCGGUGAGCUGGAGGGGAUCACAGAGGAUAUUCUACUCGCACACGGUCCUCACGCAGAAGAGCCGCUGGGCACCGUGUGGAUCGCCGCGCACUUCGAGCUCUUCGAGCAACGUCAGAUUCUUUCGAGCAUCCGGUGGAGGCUUAAAAGUGCAGUGCUCUCUAUGGCCUCCGGCGCAAAUGCAGUGGAAUCAUGCGACACAAGGUCAAUCGUGUGAGGAAUUGGUCCCCAACUAGCAUCCCACAAGUUAAACAGAGAAGGGGAUUCUUUGGGUUUUGGUUCAGAACUCCCGUGUAGAUGAUUUCCCAGUAUUACGGGUUUCUGUCCAUAUUUCGGGAAUAUUUUAAACUCUGUUGACAUUCUCUUGUGUAACACUAACAAUG